CCUGAAGUUAAAUGGUUUUGCUUGCGCCUACAGUAUAUGAAAGCAGUUUCAGUACGUGUUGUUUAAAAAGCACUAGACUAUUAGUAUGGAGGAACUCAUCCAUGAAUCUGUUUGCAGUAUAUAUUAUACCAAUGUUAUUUUCUCCCUUUUUUAGCUAAACGCUCCGAGGGCAGAGGGAAGCUUCUCCUAUGAGAGAAAGGCUCGUGGUUUGAACCGGGAUUGGUCUUUGGGUUACAGAGGCGGUCGUUUGGCUUGAGUGGUGCAGCUUGGAGGAACGUAGGUGGAGACAACGAUAUGGGCAAACAAUGCUGCAUCAGCAUCAAGAGUUUUGUUCUGUGUACAACAGCUCAUCAACUGGCCAUGCGAGGCGCGACGACUGCGGCUGGCAGCACGAGGGUGUGGGGCUGGUCGGCUGGAAGGCGUGCCGGAGGUGUGGCCACAACUGAGUACCUAAGUGAGCUUGCUUUGGUUCAUGUCAUGAAGAGACUGGCGGCCUGCCUCCGAGGGAGGCGACACUGAAUGCGCUGAGCCGAUGUCAUCUGAAGAAUCAAGCACCAAGAUACUGCCUCAAGCUGGCAUCUUGCCACUGCUCGCUGUCUCGCUGCUCCAUGGCCAGGUAUGGCGGCGAUGUGCUUUGUCCAGUGGAGACAAGCGGCGUGGGAGAAGAUGAACAUCGGGAGGGGUCGAGGUUGAGCAGGAGAUGAAGGGGUUGUCGUGCGCAGCACCGUGCUCGGUUUACCUUGGGCUCAUCAUCAAGGACUAUGGCAACAGUCGGGUCUGAUCCGGAGGCGGUGUGGUCAGCGUGUCCUCAGCCGAAGGAGGCGAGGACCAGCACGAGGUUUCAUAGCUUCAAAUCAUUCACUAAUUGAUCUUCUGGAAAUGUAUUAAGACCAUCGUGCAAAAGUUCAUGAUUGUUUGACUCAGUUAUGGCAAAUUAAGCCAUGAUUGUUUGACUCAGUUAUGGCAAAUUAAGCAAAUGAGCUUUUCAUGUAUUCAUGUUUGUAUCAGAUCGGCUUAUUAACAUUUGUGAAACAGUGGAGAUGUUGCUCGGUC